rnacentral:rRNA from 1 species
AUUGAACGCUGGCGGCAGGCCUAACACAUGCAAGUCGAGCGGAGCGGCGGACGGGGGAGUAAUGCCUAGGAAUUUGCCUGGUAGUGGGGGAUAACGUCCGGAAAAGGGCGAUAAUACCGCAUACUAUCAGAUGAGCCUAGGUCGGAUUAGCUAGUUGGUGGGGUAACGGCCUACCAAGGCGACGAUCCGUAACUGGUCUGAGAGGAUGAUCAGUCACACUGGAACUGAGACACGGUCCAGACUCCUACGGGAGGCAGCAGUGGGGAAUAUUGGACAAUGGGCGAAAGCCUGAUCCAGCCAUGCCGCGUGUGUGAAGAAGGUCUUCGGAUUGUAAAGCACUUUAAGUUGGGAGGCGGUACCAACAGAAUAAGCACCGGCUAACUUCGUGCCAGCAGCCGCGGUAAUUC